UGAGGUAUAUUUAAGGUUGCAGAGAAAACAGCAAUAAAAAUUAUACCUUGUAAAGGUUGUAAUUAAGGUGUACGAGGUUGAUUUAUAUAUACUUCAGCUUGUUUUGAGGUUGUUUAAAACUCACUUCAAAUCAUCCAGACUGAUAAGGUGAUUUUUAAGGUAUACCAGGUUUAUUUUCUUACACUUGUAACAAAAGAGGUAUUUUUGAGGUAUAAAAAUUUUUACCUUAUUUCAACUAACGAUAAAAAGGUAUUUAUUGAGGUAUAUGAAGUCAUUUUAUUUAUACCUAAGCUUAUUUUGAGGUUGUUUUAAAUUCACUUCAAAUCAUCCAGACUGAUAAGAUGAUUUUUAAGGUAUACGAGGUUGUUUCUCUUACACUUGUAACAAAAGAGGUAUUUAUGAGGUAUAAAAAAAUCAACCUUAUUUCAACUAACGAGAGUGAGGUAAUUACGAGGUAUAAAAAAUAUACCUUUUUUCUACUAACGAUAUUGAGGUAUUUAUGAGGUAUAAAAAAAUAUACCUUAUUUCAACUAAAGAGAGUGAGGUAUUUAUUGAGGUGUUGAAGUCAUUUUAUUUAUACCUAAGCUUGUUUUAAGGUUGCUUAAAGUACACUUCAUAUUAACUAACUCACUUCCCAGAGUUCCAUGCGAGCCGGCAAAUGGCGUGUGUGUUGACAAUCGAAAGUCUAUUCGAAAUUCGGUAAGUGUGCUUGACAUUUAUUAAUUUAGUUUUAUCACUUUUAAUCAAAUAUGCUUCAAUUUUGAAACUUAAAUUUUAUUAUUUUUGUUUUAACGACGCGUCCUGAUCUUAAAUAAUUUAAGUUGGAGGAUAUUCUUAGAGGCUAUCGUUGUAGGCUUAGCAAUAAGAGAGAAUAACCGAAAUAUUUCUCGUCACUGUUUUGGGUAACAUUACUGGUGAAUCGUUACAGCAGGUUAUGCACAGUAUAUUUUAUUGUUUGUAGUUCAGUCAAAUAGAACUAUUCUUUUUAUUUUGCUUAAAUGUAUAUGUUUUAACGUAGCAGUAUGCACGCUGAUUAAUUGAGAAAAAUGUUCACAAUUUCUCUUAUAAAUAAAUCAUUGAAAAUUGAAAGAUUUUUAAAAUAGCAAUUUUGCUUUGAAAUUCUACUAUAGCUGUAUGCUUAUCGUUUGGAUAUUUGUUGCAAAGUUUAUAUUAUUGUUUAUAUAUAUAUAUAUAUAUAUAUAUAUUUUCAGAGCUUAUCCACAGUUCUCUGAUAUUACUGAGAUGGCCUAGGCUGUAAAUAGCACAUGCGCGGCGGCGCAGAAGAAGAGACAAGCAAGCUACUGCUCAGCCUUCCCCUAGGAUAUAGUUCUGAAUUUAUACCUAAAAGAAAAAGUUCCAAUAAUUACAAGUUUCAACAUGUAGACGGAAACAGUAUUUAAAAUAAUUUUGUUGGUUUGUAAAAAAAGUGAAAUUUUAGUUUUAAAUAAAAGUACUUUGAAUUUCA